AAGCUCGUAGUUGAAUUUCGGGACUAACAGAUUGGUCGCGCCUUUGGGUGUGUACUGGUCUAGUUGGUUUCUCCCUUCUGACGAACCACGAUGUCAUUAAUUUGGUGUCGUGGGAAAUCAGGACUGUUACUUUGAAAAAAUUAGAGUGUUUAAAGCAGGCUCGCGCUUGAAUACAUUAGCAUGGAAUAAUGAAAUAGGACGUUUAAUUCUAUUUUGUUGGUUUCUAGGAUUGCCGUAAUGAUUAAUAGGGAUAGUUGGG
rnacentral:rRNA from 1 species